GUUUUCCAUGAUGAAUAUUUUUUAUAUUCUUUGAUAGGAAGAGUAUGACAUAUAAUGAGUACUACCAAAUUCUGAAAAA